rnacentral:sRNA from 1 species
UUCUAGAAAAAUCCGACUCAGACGGGCGAAAAAGUUUUUUCUUUCUUUUCGUUUUAAUUCAGAGAGAUGGGCGAAAAAGUUUUUUCUUUCUUUUCGUUUUAAUUCAGAGAGAUGCAGCGAGAGAACGAGAUCCAAAGGACGAGUGAUGAAGGCGAAGAGGAAGUGUUUUUCCCUGCACGAACCUAAGGAUGAACUGAAACGCAGGUCAACCCUUUGUUAUGAAAAUGUGGCCAUAUGUCUUAAUUUUCGUAAAACAUUUUCCAAGCCGAAAGUGGACAAAGAUGUGUCAAAAUGUUGGAAAACUUUUCGACAGCUAGCCAAACCUGAAGAACCCGUUUGAAGAGAAAAGCUAACCCCUUUAUUGGAACAAUAGGAAAGUAACAAAAACCGAAACAGGACCAGAACCAGAACCAAUCGAUUUGCAUUUCCCAGUUUUCCAAGUUCCCAAGUUAUGCAACACUUUCGUUAGGGAAAACGGGAAAAGGGGGAGGUGCAAUACAACCACCGCAGCUUUGCACCACCACCAAUGCAAUGAUCGAGCACCAUUAUCCUUGCAGCUGCUGUUCGCAAGGAUCUUGAACUUUUAGCAUCAGUUCGCUGCAAUUUAUGACGCUUGCGACUUAUUGACAUCAAUGUAAUUUUUGCAGGGGUAUUCGCGUCUAGAAUUUCGCACAUUCGGGCAUUUGGAAAAUCAGUUUUGUUUUCGCACACACACACCUAACGAUAUAUUGGGAAAAUCGUUGUGUAAUCCUGGUGUGCCAGAAUCAAAUCAAAGGGUGGGUUUGAUUCUCCAAGCCGGGGAAAAACGUUUUCCGCGCCCCGGGGGACGUGGAGAUUCAGGAAUCGGAGCUUAAGGGAAGAUGCAGAAUUUUAUAAUUAGCAAGGAAAGGGAAUU